UGGGGCGUAGCCAAGUGGUAAGGCACUGGUUUUUGGUACCGGCAUUGCGGAGGUUCGAAUCCUCCCGCCCCAG
rnacentral:tRNA from 1 species